AAUAGUUUCUUUGGUGGUGACCUACUACAUGGAUAACCGUAGUAAUUCUAGAGCUAAUACAUGCGUAAAUCUCGACUCACGAAGAGACGUAUUUAUUAGAUAAAGACCGACCUCGUUCUGCGGUGAAUCAUAAUAACUUCACGGACCGCAUGGCUUUAUGCCGGCGGUGUUCCAUUCAAAUUUCUGCCCUAUCAGCUUUCGACGGUAGGAUAGAGGCCUACCGUGGUGUUCACGGGUGACGGAGAAUUAGGGUUCGAUUCCGGAGAGGGAGCCUGAGGAACGGCUACCACA
rnacentral:rRNA from 1 species